rnacentral:rRNA from 1 species
UACGGAGGGUGCAAGCGUUAUCCGGAUUCACUGGGUUUAAAGGGUGCGUAGGUGGGUUGGUAAGUCAGUGGUGAAAUCCCCGAGCUUAACUUGGGAACUGCCAUUGAUACUAUCAGUCUUGAAUACCGUGGAGGUAAGCGGGAAUAUGUCAUGUAGGCGGUGAAAUGCUUAGAUAUGACAUAGAACACCGAUUGCGAAGGCAGCUUGCUACACGAGUAUUGACACUGAGGCACGAAAGCGUGGGGAUCGAAACAGG